rnacentral:sRNA from 1 species
GUGCAGUUUCUGCUAUGACGCAUGGGGU